CCCAUCUCUCCAUCACAAUCGUCGUCGAAAAUUCCUGAUUCCUCCAAGGCACACUCAAUUCUCAAGCAAUGGCACUAAGAGAGAGAGAAGAGAUCCGUGGGUGAGUGAAGAUGGUGGCCCAUCAAAGGUCACUCUCCAGACCUCCAUGGCUUCCUUCACAGUUGAGGUGACUACUUUCUUCACACAAAUCCAUCUGUAUUAGUACAUUUUUCAUGCUCUACUGUUAUAUUUUUUUUCCUAAUUGAUGAAACAAAAAUUCAUGAAAAUAUGGUAGAUGUACUACGACUAUGCACCCAAGACUUGCAAGAACUUCAUAGAGUUGGCUCGCAGAGGCUAUUACGAUAACGUCAAAUUCCACAGAAUCAUUAAGAUCUCUUUGUUUGUAUAGCUAAUCGCUAUUCAUAUUUGUAUAUGUAAACAUUUCUAAUUUUGAACUGAUAAUUUUUAUGUGAUAUUGGAGUUCAGGAUUUUAUAUUGCAAGGUGGGGAUCCAACUAGGAUUGGCAGGGGUGGCAAAUCAAUUUAUGGGUAUUUUUUUUAAUAAAAUGUAUUUUUUAAUUUUAGAGUGUGCCUUGCAAUUGGUUAUUUUGAAAUUAAUGUUUUCUUUUGGUUCCAAAUACUUCUCAUUUAUGUAGGAUUUUUAUAGAUCACCCUUUUAUGGUGUGGUGAUGGUGGUGCAGUGAAUCUAGGUAGGACGACGGUGUUGGUGAUGGUAGCGACGGUGCUUACAUUGGCAGGGGUGAUUGUGGUUGUGGUGUUUUGGAGAUGAAUGGCUGGUGACGGUGUUGAUGGCGUGGUUGAAUUGUUGGUGGUGUAGGUGCUAGCGCGAUGUUGCUACAAUGAUGGUAAGUCGGUGCUUGGUUUCAAUGGUGUUGGUAGUAUUUGUGUCCAAUUAUAUAUGUUGUUCGGUUGGUGCCAUCAUGGUGGCAAUUUUGGUGGUGUGUGUUGGUUUGUUUUUGUCGGGAGGGGAUGGCAGCGGCGGCGACGAUUGUGAUGGUGUUGUGGCCGGGAUGGUGUUGUGGCCGGGAUAGUGUUUGUGACCAGGUAUUAUGGUGGAUCGGGAUUGGGUGUUUGGCGUCUGUGACCAACUAUUUGGUCCUCUGUGACUGUAUUAAUCCUUGACUUUAAGAUUCUAUCAUUUUGUAACUAAAAAAGUAAUCUGUGAAUAUCAAAUUUAAAAAUAUGUGACAUGUGACUUAUAAUUUUUUUAAUUUGUGACCAUUUGUAACCUAUAAUUUUUUUUAUCUGUGAAUUCGAAAUAAUCUGU
rnacentral:lncRNA from 1 species